AAGGCAGGUGGGAGAGGAAAUGGGGUGACCCAGCCCGGGUGAUUUUCCGGUGAAACAUGGGACGUGGGUGCACAAGCGAGAGGCCCCAGGGGUCAGUCAGAAGCCUGGGGCAGUCACUGGUGCCUGCGCGAGGCCAGCGCAGGGGAGAGGGCAUUUGGAAGUAACCCGAAGGCUCCAGGUGGCACCAGGAAAGGAACUUGGAAAAGCAGCCUCCCAAGCUCUUCCAGGAUAAUCACCAGUGACUGGCAUGGAGGAUCUUGGCCUGAAAAGCAGGCGUUUCUUUUCGUUCUGUCUACCCUCUCCUCCUCCAUUCGCUUUCCUCAUUUUUUUCCCUUCCUCAUUCUUCAUAAAAAAUUCUUAAAAAUGCUUUUUUGCCUAGAAGAUAAGCGAUUUUACAAAAUCUGAACAAAUAAGUUAACCAGUGAAAUAAAACCAAACCCUGGAGGUGCUCGUGGCUCACACGUCACACUUGAAAGCAUGAUCUCGAAAGUGUCCUGGGUGGCAUUCCAGUG